UACAGAGGGUGCAAGCGUUGUUCGGAAUUAUUGGGCGUAAAGCGCGUGUAGGCGGCUUUGCAAGUCGGGUGUGAAAGCCCUCAGCUUAACUGAGGAAGUGCGCCCGAAACUGCAUGGCUUGAGUACCGGAGAGGGUGGCGGAAUUCCCCAAGUAGAGGUGAAAUUCGUAGAUAUGGGGAGGAACACCAGUGGCGAAGGCGGCCACCUGGACGGAUACUGACGCUGAGACGCGAAAGCGUGGGUAGCAAACAGG
rnacentral:rRNA from 1 species